rnacentral:rRNA from 1 species
CUGUCUCUUAAUUAUUAUAUUUAGAAUUUAAUUUUUUAAUCAAAAAGUUAAAAUAUUUUAAAAAGACGAGAAGACCCUAUAGAGUUUUAUAAAUUAAAUUAAUUAAGAUUAUUUAUAAAAUUAAAAUUAAGAUUUAAUUUAUUUAUUUUGUUGGGGUGAUAGAAAAAUAUAAAAAACUUUUUAUAUAUUAAAACAUUAAUAAGUGAUUAAAUGAUCCAGUAUUAUUGAUUAUAAGAAAAAAUUACCUUAGGGAUAACAGCGUAAUUUUUUUUUUUAGUUCAUAUAAAAAGAAAAGUUUGCGACCUCGAUGUUGGAUUAAGAUAAAAUUUAAAUGCAGAAG